rfam:Brassica rapa chromosome A10, whole genome shotgun sequence.
CAGAAAUUUAGCAUGACGGGGUGGGUUUGGAAUGUCAUGGGAAGGUCACGUGGGCCGUUUAAGCCGCCGUAAAUAUAGAUGGAAAACAGUAUUUUCAUCCGUCACUGCCUGAGAAGUUUGA